UUGCUAUCUUCUCUAUUAUAUUAUAUGGGAUUUCCACCAACCAUGGAUAUAUGCACAUAUAUAUACAUAAUUAAGUUUAUAUAACCCGAAUGUGAAAAGACUGUAACACUACUGCAAAUCAACUAAGUUAAACACUAUAAAGCCUUCAUUUUUAAUCCAGCUUUACACCAUCCUUUCUUAUUAGGCACUUAGUUUUUCCUAAUGAAAAGGAGGGAACUGCUUGUUAAUCUGUUUGAAUCAUGUAAUAGUUUGAAAUCAGUGGCACAGCUUCAUUGUCAAACCUUCAAAGCCGGCCUUACUCAUCAAGAUAGCUUUUUUGCCACAAAACUCAAUGUCUUGUAUGCAAAAUAUGCAUCAAUUGGGCAUGCCCGCAAACUGUUCGAUGAAACGCUUCAUAGGACUGUUUAUUUGUGGAAUGCUGCACUUAGGAGCUAUUGUAGAGAUAAACAGUGGGAAGAGACCUUGAGUCUCUUUUACAACAUGGUAUCUACUGGAAGAGCUGAUGAUGAAAAGCCUGAUAAUUUUACAGUACCCAUUGCUCUUAAGGCGUGUGCAGGGUUAAGGGCGGUGGGAUAUGGCAAAACAUUACAUGGGUUCAUAAAGAAACAUGGAAAGUUUUGUGAAGACAUGUAUGUGGGUUCUGCUUUAGUAGAAUUCUACUCAAAAUGUGGGCUUAUGGAUGAUGCUUUACAAGUGUUUAAGGAAUUUUCUAUGCCUGAUGUUGUUUUGUGGACUUCAAUGGUUACUGGGUAUGAGCAAAAUGGAUAUCCUGAAGAAGCACUAAUUUUUUUCUCCCAAAUGGUUAUGUUGGAAGGUUUAAAUCCUGACAGAGUGACACUUGUCAGUGUUGUUUCUGCUUGUGCUCAGUUAUCCAAUUUUAAGCUUGGUAGUAGUGUACAUGGCUUUGUCAUUAGGAGGGGCGUUAAUACUGAUUUAUCUUUGGUCAAUUCACUUUUGAAUCUAUAUGCAAAGACAGGUUCUGUAAAAUCUGCCACUAGCUUGUUUAAUAGAAUGCCAGAACAAGAUGUGAUAUCGUGGAGCUCAAUUAUUGCCUGUUAUGCUCUUAACGGGGCUGCUGUGAAAGCAUUAGAUUUUUUCUCUGAAAUGGUUAAUCGGAAAAUUGAACCCAAUUCAGUAACAGUUGUUAAUGCAUUACAGGCAUGUUCGAUUGCCUGUAACUUAGAAGAAGGUAUUAAGAUUCAUGAACUUGCUGUUAGGAAAGGUUUUGAGCUGGAUGUCUUGGUAUCUACAUCUCUAAUUGAUAUGUACAUGAAGUGCCUCACCCCUGACAAAGCAGUAAAUAUCUUUGAAAGAAUGCCCACGAAAGAUGUGGUUUCUUGUGCUGCAUUGUUAGGUGGUUAUGCUCAUAAUGGAAUGCCUCAUAAAUCAAUGGGGAUAUUUUGCUACAUGUUAUUACAUGAGAUUAAACCUGAUGCUGUUGCUAUGGUGAAGAUUCUGGCAGCUUGUGCACAGUCCGGGAUUCUUCAGCAAGCUCUCUGCCUUCAUUGCUAUGUGCAGAAAAGGGGAUUUGACAAGAACAUUUUUGUUGGAGCUUCACUGAUAGAUUUGUACUCAAAGUGUGGUAGCCUAGAUAAUUCUUUCCAAAUAUUUGAAGGAGUUGUGAAUAAAGAUGUUUUUAUUUGGAGUGCCAUGAUUGCAGCUUAUGCAAUCCAUGGGUGUGGAGAAGAAGCUAUAAAUAUAUUUGAUCAAAUGGUUAAGAAUUCAGGUGUUAGACCUAACAGCGUCACAUUUCUCUCUGUUUUAUCAGCUUGUAGCCAUUCAGGUCUAGUUGGAAAGGGGUUAGAAAUAUUUAAUACAAUGCUGCAAUACCAACUGAAACCAAAUUCUGAGCAUUAUGGAAUGAUAGUUGAUCUUCUGGGUCGCAUUGGAGAGUUGGAAAAGGCCAUGGACAUUAUCAACAAAAUGCCAUUUCAAGCAGGGCCACAUGUUUGGGGAGCUUUGCUUGGUGCUUGUCGUAUUCAUCACAAUGUCAAAUUGGGAGAGGUUGCAGCCAGGAAUCUUUUUAUGUUAGAUCCUAACCACGCAGGGUAUUAUAUAUUGCUGUCAAAUAUCUAUGCCGUGGACGAGAAAUGGGAAAGUGUGGCAGAACUUAGAACUCUAAUUAAGGAGAAGAAGCUGAAGAAGACAUUUGGUGAGAGUACAGUUGAAGCAGGAAAGAACAUCUAUAGCUUUGUUGCUGGUGAUAGAUUUCACCCCGACUCUGAUCAGAUUUACGAAUUAUUGAGUAUGUUGGAGUUGAAGAUGAGGCAAGAAGCUUAUCUUCCUGAUAUUGAACUUCUGCAUCAUGAUGGCGAGCUCUCAUGACUAUACAAAAGUCUGCAACUGCAAGGAGAAUCAGUAAAGCAUCUGCAACACUAAAUAGAAAAUGGAUAAGAUGCCUUUGUGGCAUGUCUGUGUUCAAUGAAAGCUAGCAUGUUCCCGUGCGUAUGAAGGAUAUUUAAGUAGGCUUGGCUUAUUUUAAGUAUUACAUUGAGGAAUUUCGCAUAAUAUGAGCUUACUCCGCCUACUAGCUCCAUCUUUAAUCUCGAAAUCCUUGAAAUCGUGUGGGAAACUACAUUGCUAUGGUUCACAGUCAGAAAGAAUCCAACUGAUUCAUACAGAGGCAACAUCAGUUAAUGUUGUCACUUCCAUUUGUAAUUCGUUCAGAAGUGGUUUAGAUUGGGACACACUCACUAAAAAAUUUCAUCAUGUUGAGCUUGAUGAACUACUUGUUGAGAAAGUACUAUUGGAAUUGAAGGGACCCAUUGAUGCAAAGCAGGCUUUGGGUUUCUUUCAUUGGUCAUCUCACAGAAACAAAUCUGAGCAUGGAGUCCAGUCUUACUGCAUAGCCAUUCAUAUUCUGGUCCAAGCUCGGUUGAAUGUGGAUGCUAGAGCUUUGAUUGAAUCAGUUUUGAAGAAAAAUUCUGGAGACUCUUCUAGAUUCCUAGUGGUGGAUUCACUACUUAGUAGUUAUAAAAAUACUGCUUCGAAUCCAUUUGUUUUUGAUCUGCUUAUACAAGCUUAUUCUAGAUUGAGAAUGUUUGAGGCUGGUUUUGAAGUUUGCUGCUAUUUGGAAGAACAUGGGUUCUCAUUAAGUCUUGCAACUUUCAAUACUUUGGUGCACGUUGUUCAAAAGUCUGGCCAGAGUACUCUAGUUUGGAAGAUUUAUGAGCAUAUGAUUACAAAAAGGAUAUACCCUAAUGGAACAACGAUUCGAACAUUAAUUAGCUCGUUGUGCAAGGAAGGGAAGCUGCAAAAAGUAAUUGGAAUGUUGGAUAGGAUCCAUGGAAAUAGAUGCUCUCCGUCUGUGAUCAUCAACACUAGUUUGAUUUUGAGGAUUUUAGACGAAGGUAGAGUUGAAGAUGGUGUGGAGAUACUGAAAAGAUUGUUGCAAAAGAAUAUGGUUUUUGACACCAUUGCUUACUCUUUGAUUGUUUAUGCUAAAGUGAAGCUAGGAAAUUUAGGCUCUGCCUGGGUUGUUUAUGAAGAAAUGCUGAAGAGAGGUUUUCGGCCAAACCCUUUUGUUCUUACGCUGUUUAUAGGAGGCUACUGUGAAGAGGGAAGAAUUGAAGAAGCAAAUUGCUUGAUGCAAGAUAUGGAAGACAUUGGUUUGAAGCCUUAUGAUGAGACUUUCAAUUACCUAAUUAAGGGCUUUGCCAAGGCAGGAAGAUUAGAAGAAAGCUUAAGAAGUUGCGAAAGAAUGGUGGAACAGAGCUUUAUUCCGAGUUGUUCUGCUUUCAAUGAAAUGAUUGAGAAGCUUUGUGAAAAUGGAGAUAUGGAAAAAGCUAAUGCAGCAUUAACUCAAUUAUUAGAGAAUAAAGGUUUCAAACCAAAUGAAAUCACUUAUGCUACUCUGAUUAAUGGCUAUGAGAAAAAAGGUGAUGUUGAAGAAGUUGUCAAGCUUUUUUAUGAAAUGGAGAACAUGCUACUAUCUCCGGGUUCGUCUGUUUUUGCAGCAUUGAUAAAGAGCUUCUGCCAAUCAGGUAAAAUGGAGGAAGCAGAGAAGCAUUUUCAGAUUAUGAAAGACCGUUCGCUAGCUAGAGACGAGUGCUUGUACGAGACAAUGAUCGUUAACUACAUUGAGAAGGGAGACAAGAAAAGGGCCCUUAGACUUCACAAUGAAAUGGUUCAUGAAGGGCUAAGGCCUCAUUGCCAAAUACUUGAUACAUUUCCAAGUACUGCUAACUGUAAAGCUUCUUGUUCACUUGGUAAGUUUCAGUCAUCUUCCAAAGUACUUUGAAUUUAAUAUAUGUCAAAAAUAAAAUAACAGUUAUAUUUCUGUUCAAUCUCUAUAUAAAUAGUAGUUUAGAGCUUUUAGUGAUUCAUUCAUGAACUCAACAUAAUAAUAAUGUCUAUAAUAAAAUGCUUGCAUGUA